UUACCACUUUGUGAUUCAUGACUGGGGUGAAGUCGUAACAAGGUAACCGUAGGGGAACCUGCGGUUGGAUCACCUCCUUACCUUAAAGAAGC
rnacentral:rRNA from 5 species